UACGUAGGGACCGAGCGUUGUCCGGAAUCAUUGGGCGUAAAGAGCGUGUAGGCGGCCUUUUAAGUCCUGCGUGAAAUCCUGCGGCUCAACCGCAGACGGUCGUGGGAAACUGGAAGGCUAGAGUGCGGGAGAGGAGAGUGGAAUUCCCGGUGUAGCGGUGAAAUGCGCAGAUAUCGGGAAGAACACCCGUGGCGAAGGCGGCUCUCUGGAACGCAACUGACGCUGAGGCGCGAAAGCCAGGGGAGCGAACGGG
rnacentral:rRNA from 1 species